CUCACCCUACAUUCUAAGCCCACGAGGUGACCAAAUUAACCCCUUCAUUUUGCCCAUUCGUUUCCCAAGGUGGGGAGAUCCUCACUGGAGGCUAGAUCGCGGUGCAGGAAAUUAAAUAAUGGAAUCGCCUCUUCUUGGACGGUAGACUCCCCAUCAUUGGUCUCACAAAUGUGAAAGUAGGCAGUCUCACUAGAAAAGGUAGCACUUAAAGGCCAUUCCAAGGCACGAGCAAGCUUUGUGAGCCAUAUGGGCUGCCCUCUUACCAAAUUAACACCUAUGAAGGUGGCAGUCCCAAGCUCACCCAAUUUAGGGAGGGAGUCCUUGACCAGGGGCACAACAUCGGGAAAGGCAUGCAGAAAACAAG
rnacentral:lncRNA from 1 species